rnacentral:rRNA from 1 species
ACGGAGGAUCCGAGCGUUAUCCGGAUUUAUUGGGUUUAAAGGGUGCGUAGGUGGUUUAAUAAGUCAGCGGUGAAAGUUUGCAGCUUAACUGUAAAAAUGCCGUUGAAACUGUUAGACUUGAGUGUAAAUGAGGUAGGCGGAAUGCGUGGUGUAGCGGUGAAAUGCUUAGAUAUCACGCAGAACUCCGGUUGCGAAGGCAGUUUACUAGGCUAGACCUGACACUGAAGCACGAAAGCGUGGGGAUCAAACAG